AUGAGAAAAUACGUACGCUUGGGAAUCUACCUCAUGCUGUCAUGCACCUUCCUAAUGUCUCUCCUCUUCACGUUGGUACUGCUGUAUGCAUCGACCAUAGUAUCUGGUUCCACUGACAACUCGUUCAAGCUUUGGGACUUGUCUAAUCAAGCAAGAGUAAUUGACAAUCCAAUUCAGACUUCUACAGGGCAUAUAAAUACAAAGAUUAUUGAUAGAUAUUUCUGUGUACUGUCUGCCCAGACACUUCCGAAAGUAGAAGAGAAAUGGCGAAGAACUCCCUCGAGAGAUGUACGCAUUAUUAUGAAUGAUGGGCAGCUAAUCGGCGGAGUUUGGUGUUCUUUGCGACAGUGGCAUUGCUGGUGGCUGUAG
rnacentral:rRNA from 1 species